rnacentral:tRNA from 1 species
AGUCUUAUAUUCAUGUUUGUGAUAGUAGAAUGCAAUUCUGGUGGGGUGGUAUUGUAAGUAGCCACUAAGGCUU